AUCGAUGAAGAACGCAGCGAAAUGCGAUAAGUAAUGUGAAUUGCAGAAUUCAGUGAAUCAUCGAAUCUUUGAACGCACAUUGCGCCCUCUGGUAUUCCGGAGGGCAUGCCUGUUCGAGCGUCAUUACAACCCUCAAGCUCUGCUUGGCCUUGGGCGUCACCGGUAACGGUGGGCCCCAAACCCAGUGGCGGUGCCGUCUGGCUCUAAGCGUAGUAAUUCUUCUCGCUAUAGAUGCCCGGUGGAUGCUUGCCAGUAACCCCCAAUUUUUUCAGGUUGACCUCGGAUCAGGUAGGGAUACCCGCUGAACUUAAGCAUAUCAAUAAGCGGAGGAAAAGAAACCAACAGGGAUUACCUCAGUAACGGCGAGUGAAGCGGUAACAGCUCAAAUUUGAAAUCUGGGUCUUUCAGGCUCCGAGUUGUAAUUUGUAGAAGAUGCUUCGGGUGCGGCUCCGGUCUAAGUUCCUUGGAACAGGACGUCAUAGAGGGUGAGAAUCCCGUAUGUGAUCGGUUGCCUGCGCCCGUGUGAAGCUCUUUCGACGAGUCGAGUUGUUUGGGAAUGCAGCUCAAAAUGGGUGGUAAAUUUCAUCUAAAGCUAAAUAUUGGCCAGAGACCGAUAGCGCACAAGUAGAGUGAUCGAAAGAUGAAAAGCACUUUGGAAAGAGAGUUAAACAGUACGUGAAAUUGUUGAAAGGGAAGCGCUUGCAACCAGACUUGCGCGUUGCCGAUCAUCCGGGGUUCUCCCCGGUGCACUCGGCUUCGCUCAGGCCAGCAUCGGUUUUGGUGGUGGGAUAAAGGCCUUGGGAAUGUAGCUCCUCUCGGGGAGUGUUAUAGCCCUCGGUGCAAUGCCGCCUACCGGGACCGAGGACCGCGCUUCGGCUAGGAUGCUGGCGUAAUGGUUGUAAGCGACCCGUCUUGAAACACGGAA
rnacentral:rRNA from 1 species